rnacentral:rRNA from 1 species
CACGUAGGGGGCAAGCGUUGUCCGGAUUUAUUGGGCGUAAAGAGCGUGUAGGCGGCCAGGCAGGUCCGUUGUGAAAACUCGAGGCUCAACCUCGAGACGUCGAUGGAAACCGUCUGGCUAGAGUCCGGAAGAGGAGAGUGGAAUUCCUGGUGUAGCGGUGAAAUGCGCAGAUAUCAGGAAGAACACCUAUGGCGAAGGCAGCUCUCUGGGGACGGUACUGACGCUGAGACGCGAAAGCGUGGGGAGCGAACAGG